rnacentral:rRNA from 1 species
UACAGAGGUCGCAAGCGUUGUUCGGAUUCAUUGGGCGUAAAGGGUGCGUAGGUGGUGAGUUAAGUCUGUCGUGAAAGCCCCGGGCUCAACCUGGGAAUGGCGAUGGAUACUGGCUCGCUAGAGUGCGGUAGAGGAGAGUGGAAUUCCCGGUGUAGCAGUGAAAUGCGUAGAUAUGCGGAGGAACACCGAUGGCGAAGGCAAUCCCCUGGGCCUGCACUGACGCUCAUGCACGAAAGCGUGGGGAGCAAGCAGG